AUUGAACGCUGGCGGCAGGCCUAACACAUGCAAGUCGAGCGGAUGAAGGGAGCUUGCUCCUGGAUUCAGCGGCGGACGGGUGAGUAAUGCCUAGGAAUCUGCCUGGUAGUGGGGGAUAACGUCCGGAAACGGGCGCUAAUACCGCAUACGUCCUGAGGGAGAAAGUGGGUGAUCUUCGGACCUCACGCUAUCAGAUGAGCCUAGGUCGGAUUAGCUAGUUGGUGGGGUAAAGGCCUACCAAGGCGACGAUCCGUAACUGGUCUGAGAGGAUGAUGAGUCACACUGGAACUGAGACACGGUCCAGACUCCUACGGGAGGAAGCAGUGGGGAAUAUUGGACAAUGGGCGAAAGCCUGAUCCAGCCAUGCCGCGUGUGUGAAGAAGGUCUUCGGAUUGUAAAGCACUUUAAGUUGGGAGGAAGGACAGUAAGUUAAUACCUUGCUGUUUUGACGUUACCAACAGAAUAAGCACCGGCUAACUUCGUG
rnacentral:rRNA from 1 species